UAUCAAUUAUUGGUGUGUCCUGUUAUCAAUUACACUCGACACUAAGCGGUUUUUGUAUGCUCAGAUUUUAAAAUUUCAACUUUUCUUGUCAAUGUCAAUUGUCAAUUAUUACUAUUUUUGGGUUGUAAAUUUCUUUUCUUGCUGCUUUUCAAUUUAAUAAUACCCCAGAAUCCAGACUAAAGUGCCUAAAGCCUUUACAAGGUCAGGAAUUUUAUAUAAAUUCCUAGUAGGAAAAGGUCCUGUCGAAAUAUUCCUAAUGAUUAAUCAGCUGCUUCCAUGAAAUCUCCUAAAAUCGAGAUGUCCAUUGCAGUUUCAUGGUUCCAGACUAUUGCAGCUAGCGCAUUCUAGGAUCUACAAGUUAGACACUAGGAAAUUUGGAUUUGUCGAUCCAAACUCCUAAAUACACAUUUUUUGGUCGUAGUAAAACUGGUUAAGAAUCUAUUAAAAAUACACAAAAAAUAUUUUAACUUUAGCACCCUGUAUCUCGGAAACUGUUAACUUUCAGAUAAGUCAAAUUUGCCUGUAAUGCAAUACUUUUGCCUGAACAAUAUGCCAGUGAAUUUUGGGUAUAUAAAUUAUUUGAAAAGUUGUAUAGGUAUAUAAAAACGAACUGGUUUAGAAACAUAUUUUAAAGCGAAAAUAACUGUAUUAAAUAUUAUAACCUUCUUUCUUUUAAAGUAUUUUAAAUUUAAACAAACAAAGUUCAAUCAAAGCCCAUAUACAUACGAAAGUUCAUUAUACGUACAGAGUUUAUAGCUUAAAACAUCUAUACAGUUCUAAGUAAAUAAUGCUGUGUGAGAUAAAAAAAAUAUAUAUGUGGUUCGUACGACAUGUGAAUAAACCUCGUAAACAUGAGAAUACCGAGAAAAUUAUUUAUAACUGUCUUGGUAAUAUUAUUAACAAACCGCUACUAUUAACUAGUACUAACCGCAACAAAAUGCACUGAUUGAGCUGUACUUGUAUAUCUGAUGUCGCUCGGUCAGCAAGCGCCCUUUCCAUGAAACUUAAAAAAAAAUUGCCUCUGAUAUGAACAUUUGUUUGAAAUAAAUCCACAGAUUGUUGAUUCAGAACACACAUGUAAUUUUAGCUGACUUUUGAAGUGCCGAAUGGGUUUUGAAUAAAUUCAGUUAAAAUUGUUAUUA